CCUACGGGAGGCAGCAGUGGGGAAUAUUGCGCAAUGGGCGAAAGCCUGACGCAGCAACGCCGCGUGGGGGAUGAAGGCCUUCGGGUUGUAAACCCCUUUCAGCAGGGAAGAAGCGAAAGUGACGGUACCUGCAGAAGAAGCACCGGCUAACUACGUGCCAGCAGCCGCGGUAAUACGUAGGGUGCAAGCGUUGUCCGGAUUUAUUGGGCGUAAAGAGCUCGUAGGCGGUUAGUCACGUCGGAUGUGAAAUCCCGGAGCUUAACUCCGGGCCUGCAUUCGAUACGGGCUGACUCGAGUGUUGUAGGGGAGACUGGAACUCCUGGUGUAGCGGUGAAAUGCGCAGAUAUCAGGAAGAACACCGGUGGCGAAGGCGGGUCUCUGGGCAACUACUGACGCUGAGGAGCGAAAGCGUGGGGAGCAAACAGGAUUAGAUACCCUGGUAGUCCACGCCGUAAACGGUGGGCGCUAGGUGUGGGGAACAUUCCACGUUCUCUGCGCCGCAGCUAACGCAUUAAGCGCCCCGCCUGGGGAGUACGGCCGCAAGGCUAAAACUCAAAGGAAUUGACGG
rnacentral:rRNA from 1 species